GCGGACAUGGCGGAAUUGGUAGACGCACCAGCCUUAGGAGCUGGCGGGGUGACCUGUUCGAGUUCGAGUCUCGAUGUCCGCACCA
rnacentral:tRNA from 1 species